GGUGGGAGGAUUGCUUGAGCCUGGAAUCUGGAGCCUGCAGUGAACUAUGAUUGUGCCACUGCACUCCAGUUUAGGCAACAAAAUGAAAUUUUGUUUA
ensembl:miRNA